GAGUUUGAUCAUGGCUCAGGAUGAACGCUAGCGGCAGGCCUAAUACAUGCAAGUCGAGGGGCAGCGCGGGUAGCAAUACCUGGCGGCGACCGGCGCACGGGUGCGUAACACGUAUACAAUCUGCCUUUAACAGGGGGAUAGCCCGGAGAAAUCCGGAUUAAUACCCCAUAAUAUAUUGAGUGGCAUCACUUGAUAUUGAAAGCUCCGGCGGUUAGAGAUGAGUAUGCGCCUGAUUAGUUAGUUGGUGAGGUAACGGCUCACCAAGACUUCGAUCAGUAGGGGAUCUGAGAGGACUACCCCCCACACGGAUACUGAGACACGGAUCCGACUCCUACGGGAGGCAGCAGUAAGGAAUAUUGGACAAUGCCCGCAAGGGUGAUCCAGCCAUGCCGCGUGCAGGAAGACGGCCCUAUGGGUUGUAAACUGCUUUUACACCGGAGAAAACCCCUUCUCGUGAGGAGGGCUGAUAGUAUGGUGAGAAUAAGCAUCGGCUAACUUCGUGCCAGCC
rnacentral:rRNA from 1 species